rnacentral:rRNA from 1 species
UACGAAGGGGGCUAGCGUUGCUCGGAAUUACUGGGCGUAAAGCGCACGUAGGCGGCUUUCUAAGUCGGGGGUGAAAUCCUGGAGCUCAACUCCAGAACUGCCUUCGAUACUGGAGAGCUCGAGUCCGGGAGAGGUGAGUGGAACUGCGAGUGUAGAGGUGAAAUUCGUAGAUAUUCGCAAGAACACCAGUGGCGAAGGCGGCCGGCUGGGGGUGACCUGACGCUGAGGCGCGAAAGCGUGGGGAGCGAACCGG